rnacentral:lncRNA from 1 species
GUCACUCUGACCUCCCAAGCUCCAUCAACCUGCAUCUAAACCCAGUCUGGGACGCUGAUUUGCGCAGUGGCCCAGCAGAAGGGGCUUCCUCUCAUUUCUGUGAAGCUUGUUUGACAUGAAGAGGUGGACAUAGCUCAGGAAGGGUUAUGACACCAUGGCCAUCCCCAGCCACGCCACUCACCCACUGGCUGUUCCCAAGCUGGCCACGACCUCGCUACACCUCGGUGCUCUGAUUUGAAACAUGGGAAGGGUCUGUUGUUCCUCCAGCCCUAAGGAACAAUACUUGUUGGUUUUACAAGGCAUCUCAUCAUGAGGAAAUCAAUGGUACACCCACCAUCUCAUUCCCCGCUCACCCAGCCCUAUACAUGUUAGCGACCCCUCUUCACACAUGGGGACAUGGAGACUCGUGAGGAGGAGGUAAAAUCAAAGGGACAGAGUGAGGGACCCCUGUACAAACAACAAAGUUAUUUCUCUGCAACCUCCGGGUCUGACCACGGAUAACUGGCUGAUUCCUCCUCCUGGCAUUCAGGGUUGUACCCCUGUGUUCUGGACUGAGGGCAGGAGAGAGAAAUAAACUCACCG